rnacentral:rRNA from 1 species
UACGGAGGGUGCAAGCGUUAUCCGGAUUUACUGGGUUUAAAGGGUGCGUAGGUGGGUUGGUAAGUCAGUGGUGAAAUCAUUCGAGCUUAACUCGGAAACUGCCAUUGAUACUAUCAAUCUUGAAUAUCCUGGAGGUAAGCGGAAUAUGUCAUGUAGCGGUGAAAUGCUUAGAUAUGACAUAGAACACCAUUGCGAAGGCAGCUUACUACGGGAUCAAUUGACACUGAGGCACGAAAGCGUGGGGAUCAAACAGG